CAGUCACAUCAGGGAGAGUGGUGAGCCUGCACCUCUUUCCCCACCCUGCCCCGUGCAGCUCUUUCAUCCAAAUGUCAUCUAGCUGGUGUGCACAGCAGCGUUAAGAAUCCCCGCACUGAGAGAUGAGACGCUUCAUCCUACAGGUAUUCGCACUGCGGCUUGAGAAAGAAGGCAGCAGCUGAGUGCAUUGUCAGAGGCCUGGUUGAUAGUGGAAGCUGGUUCAGGGCACAGUGGAUGCUGUGCACUUGUUCCCAAGGCUCUUGCUCUUGGUAUCUGUUCCAGUGGGCCUGCAGAACAUGGCGCUGGAAGUGAUGCAAGCAGCUACACAGGGUUUAAGAGCAUCAGUACCCAGAUCUGCCCACCCUAAGCCCCAGGUUGCUUGUGAAAUGCCUCCAAGUGGAUGUCUGUAGUCUGGCCCAUUCGAUCUGCUUCUGUA
ensembl:lncRNA